AUAGCAUAAAUCUAGAGGAAAAAAAAAAAAUUCAUAGCCGAAUUUUUGAUCCCGAAUUUUUAAUUGGUGAACGUAUAAUAUUCGUAUAAAUCACAUAUCCGAAUAGUUGACGAAUCCUUUUUUUUGCCGUAUUUUUCAAUGAAUUUUAAAAUUAGGAUACAAAUUUUAUCCGUAUUAUAUUUGUACCGAAUUUUUGCGGAAUCCAAAUUAACUAACUAUGAUCUCAUAGGCGUAGGAGAAAGUAGAUGGUAUCUCAGCUCUUGCUUUCUUGUGUUGAAUCAUUUUCCCCUUUUGUCCUAGACUAGUGCAGUGACUCGCGCGAUGCAGCGAAAAAAAAUAUUUUAAUAAAAAUUUAUAAAUUAAAUAAAUAAAUAUAAAUGUAAAGAAGAAACAAAAAAAUAUAACCAUAUUUAAUUAGACUUAAUAAUAUGAAAAACAUAUUAAAAAAUAUUUAAAAUGAAAUCACAACUCCACGAAAAAUAAUAAAAGAAACUGAAAAGAAAGAAAGUAUAUAAGAAUUAUAUGAGAAGAAAAAUGGUAUAGAUAUUAUAAAAAAAUAUUUGAAAUAUUGCAAGUGAAACAUAACAAAUAUUAAAGAGCACACCGAAGAGAUUUAAAUUAAUAUUUAACAAAUCAAAUAAACAGGUUCAGGAGUAAAGUGACCCGAGCAUUGUAGCAGAUAAAUACUGUUAAAGUUAAAAUUUAAAAAUAAUAAAUUAUCAGUAAAGAAAAAAAUAAAAUAUAUUCAUCUUCAUUAAAUUAUCUUAAAUAUACGCAUCGAGUCCAGAAUAACCAAAAAAAUAUAAAACUCACAUAAAGUAAUAAAAAAUCAUAAAAAAAUUUCAAAUUAUGCAAAAUUUGAAAUUUACAGAGUACUCACAUAUUAUUCCUUUCACAAAUUAGUUUUUAUUCAUGGGACAUAGAAUUUGGAGCAAUGAUCUAUUGACUUGAAAUCAAUACCAGAGCAAACAAAAAAAGAAUAAAGUAAAAUAUUAUAAAAUAAAAUUUGAAAAGUAAUAAAUAAAAAAAAUUAAAGCAAAGAAUAAGGAUUAACAUUUACCAUUUGAUUUAUCUUACUAUUCCCUGUUUUUUUUCCUCAACUAUUUCUCUUCCCAUCAAUUCCUCUUAUUCAUUUGUUAUUAAUUCUCCAUAAUAAUCACCCCAAUUAAAGUUCAAAAUUAAAUUUUAGAUAACGGAUGAUCUUCUAAAUUAUCAAUUAGCAAUAUGAUUUAUGAAUGUGUAACUUACUUGAUUAAUGUUUAAUUCCGUCGAUUCAGUAGAGAGGAAAAAAUAAGAAAGAUGAGAAGAAAAGGUGUAGGAAAAAGAUACUUUAAUUCACAUUAAAUAAAAAAUUAAAAUAACUUUUAAAUCUAACGUAAGAGAGAUGGAAAGAGAAACGGUAGGAAAAUUUAGAGAAUUGAUUUGGCUCAAAUGGGUUAUUAUUUUAUUAUUAUCUAUAUCUAUUAAUUAACCUAAGAAUGAAGGGUUUCUUGCCACGUGGCAAGAAAUAUUGGGGAUUCAUUAAAGUUAAUAGAUAGUUGUUUAUCGAUUCACAAACAAAAUGAUUUAGUG
rnacentral:lncRNA from 1 species